rnacentral:misc_RNA from 1 species
UUUCCGUAGGUGAACCUGCGGAAGGAUCAUUAAAGAGAUCAUGCCCUCACGGGUAGACCUCCCACCCUUUGUUUACAAUACCUUUGUUGCUUUGGCGGGCCCGUUUGGCCCCGCGCUGAACAACCGGCCCCGGCUGGUCAGUGCCCGCCAGAGAACCGAAAACUCUGAAUUAAAUGUCGUCUGAGUACUAUGUAAUAGUUAAAACUUUCAACAACGGAUCACUUGGUUCUG